GAUGAACGCUGGCGGCGUGCCUAAUACAUGCAAGUCGAGCGAACAGACGAGGAGCUUGCUCCUCUGACGUUAGCGGCGGACGGGUGAGUAACACGUGGAUAACCUACCUAUAAGACUGGGAUAACUUCGGGAAACCGGAGCUAAUACCGGAUAAUAUAUUGAACCGCAUGGUUCAAUAGUGAAAGACGAUUUUGCUGUCACUUAUAGAUGGAUCCGCGCCGCAUUAGCUAGUUGGUAAGGUAACGGCUUACCAAGGCGACGAUGCGUAGCCGACCUGAGAGGGUGAUCGGCCACACUGGAACUGAGACACGGUCCAGACUCCUACGGGAGGCAGCAGUAGGGAAUCUUCCGCAAUGGGCGAAAGCCUGACGGAGCAACGCCGCGUGAGUGAUGAAGGUCUUCGGAUCGUAAAACUCUGUUAUUAGGGAAGAACAAAUGUGUAAGUAACUAUGCACGUCUUGACGGUACCUAAUCAGAAAGCCACGGCUAACUACGUG
rnacentral:rRNA from 1 species